rnacentral:miRNA from 1 species
UGAUGGGGGUGUAGUGCAGCA